rnacentral:rRNA from 1 species
AGCGAACGCUGGCGGCAGGCCUAACACAUGCAAGUCGAACGAACCUUUCGGGGUUAGUGGCGGACGGGUGAGUAACCCGUGGGAACGUGCCUUUAGGUUCGGAAUAACUCAGGGAAACUUGUGCUAAUACCGAAUGUGCCCUUCGGGGGAAAGAUUUAUCGCCUUUAGAGCGGCCCGCGUCUGAUUAGCUAGUUGGUUGAGGUAAUGGCUCACCAAGGCGACGAUCAGUAGCUGGUCUGAGAGGAUGAUCAGCCACAUUGGGACUGAGACACGGCCCAAACUCCUACGGGAGGCGGCAGUGGGGAAUCUUGCGCAAUGGGCGAAAGCCUGACGCAGCCAUGCCGCGUGAAUGAUGAAGGUCUUAGGAUUGUAAAAUUCUUUCACCGGGGACGAUAAUGACGGUACCCGGAGAAGAAGCCCCGGCUAACUUCGUG